UACGUAGGGCGCAAGCGUUAUCCGGAAUUAUUGGGCGUAAAGAGCUCGUAGGCGGUUUGUCGCGUCUGCCGUGAAAAUCCGGGGCUCAACCCCGGACUUGCGGUGGGUACGGGCAGACUAGAGUGUGGUAGGGGAGACUGGAAUUCCUGGUGUAGCGGUGAAAUGCGCAGAUAUCAGGAAGAACACCCGUGGCGAAAGCGGCUCUCUGGAACGGUACUGACGCUGAGACGCGAAAGCGUGGGGAGCGAACAGG
rnacentral:rRNA from 1 species